rnacentral:lncRNA from 1 species
CAUCCAUGGCCCCUUUCCCCACUGAGAAGCGCUCAGCAUUGCUCAGGCCUCUCGGGGACACUUCUUUUCAGCACAGAUAACUCCAAGGGGCCACUAGCUCAGCCAUGGGCUGUCUGCUCCAUGUUACGACGGAGAAGUGUUUACCCACCACGGUGACCAGUGCUCAGAGACCAUGGUCCUCCUAGUGAGGAGCAGAGACCUGACCUAAGACACGUUGCAGAAUUCUUGGAACGAGAAAAAGAAAGGGACCCAUAACUAAGGCACUGAAAGCACAUUAUUUCGAUAAAGAAAUGUAAACAAUUUAACACCGACAGGCUCCCUUCAUUAGUCUUUACUGUAAGAGAACACAGGGGCUUCGCCUGAAGUCGGGUGAAAUGGGAAAUGCCGCCCUGUCUGCAGCAUUCAGUCCGGCUGCCCAUAAAUGAUUCCUCCAACAUCAGAUGAGAUCGGGUGCGUUCAGGGUGGGAUGGCUGGAGACCCAUGACUCUUGACAUGGUGCUGUAGAAGUCAUUUCAAAGCAACUUAAGUGGAAGCUGUUAUCACCCUAUCAUCUGCAUUUCAAGAACACAACAAAGAAGAAUUUUAUCAGGAACCUUAAAUGAUUAGGGUCUUCAAAACAUCUAGUCUUCAACCUUGUUCUUUGAAUUUUAGAAGUACUUUGUUUGGCCUGUGUCAUGAGAGGAGUCUGUCACCUCGCCAGAGCUCCUCUUGUGGGUUCAGAUUUUAAAUAAAAUGGUUCAUAUUAUGAGUAAGCCACACUUGGUAUACUUAAAACUUUUCAGAAUGGGAAAUCUGGCAAGUGGACAAAUAGCACUGUGAACAUUUCCCCUUCAAAGUACCACAAGUGCAGUAAGCAGGAAGCGCCUGUCUGCUCCGGGCGCAGCGGGGGACAGAGUGGCAGGGUGAUUCCUCAGGGCCGUCACAGCUACUGAAGCGACCUUCAUUUAUACUGCACAUUUCAGUAUCAAUCUUAACUAUUCUAAGCUCCAAAUCAUUAACUAUAUUUCUUUAAAAAAGUGGACUUUCAUGCAGCUAAAUUUAUGUGUACAUAAAUGCAACUGUAAUUUUUAAUAAGCCUUACUGUCAAAAAGGGACUUAUUUC